rnacentral:tRNA from 1 species
AGUUUUAUAUUCAAUAAAAUGAUAUCAAAAUGCAAUUUUGAAGGUGUACUUAAUUAGUAUUAAGACUU